AAGUGACUGAAAGCAAG
rnacentral:tRNA from 1 species